CAUGUAGGCGGUUAAGUAAGUCUGAUGUGAAAGCACACAGCUCAACUGUGAUGUUGCGUUGGAAACUGCUUGACUUGAAUACGAGAGGGGUAAGUGGAAUUCCUAGUGUAGGGGUGAAAUCUGUUGAUAUUAGGAAGAACACCAGAGGCGAAGGCGACUUACUGGCUCUGGAUUGACGCUGAGAUGCGAAAGCGUAGGUAGCGAACAGGAUUAGAUACCCUGGUAGUCC
rnacentral:rRNA from 1 species